rnacentral:rRNA from 1 species
CCUACGGGUGGCAGCAGUGCGGAAUAUUGGUCAAUGGCCGAGAGGCUGAACCAGCCAAUUCGCGUGAGGGCAGACUGUCCUAUGUAUUGUAAACCUCUUUUGUCAGGGAGCAAAGUCACCCACGUGUGGGUGUUGGAGAGUCCCUGAAGAAAAAGCAUCGGCUAACUCCGUGCCCGCAGCCGCGGUAAUACGUAGGGUGCAAGCGUUAUCCGGAUUUACUGGGUGUAAAGGGAGCGUAGACGGCGAUGUAAGUCUGAAGUGAAAGGCGGGGGCCCAAACCCUGGACUGCCUUGGAAACUGGAUGGCUGGAGUGCAGGAGAGGUAAGCGGAAUUCCUAGGGUAGCGGUGAAAUGCGUAGAUAUCAGGAAGAACACCAGUGGCGAAGGCGGCUUACCGGACCGUAACUGACGCUGAGGCUCGAAAGCGUGGGGAGCAAACAGGAUUAGAUACCCGGGUAGUC